rfam:Danio rerio chromosome 6, GRCz11 reference primary assembly.
GUUGGAUAUGGAGACAUUUACCCUAAGACGCUUCUGGGCAAGAUCGUUGGUGGUCUCUGCUGCAUAGCUGGAGUUUUAGUCAUUGCCCUACCCAUUCCUAUUAUCGUCAACAAC